AGGGAGAGAAGAACCAGAAUAAGUGGGAGGUUGAAGAAACUACAAGAGCUUGUUCCUAACAUGGAUAAGCAAACAAGCUAUGCAGACAUGUUGGAUUUGGCAGUGCAGCACAUCAAAGUCCUUCAAAAUGAAGUUAAGAAACUACACAAUGAAUUGGAAAACUGUACAUGCGGAUGCAGGCAGGCCAACCACGUGACAGUCAUUUUGGCUAACUGGGAUUUUCAUGAAACAAGUUUUUGAUCCAAGGAUUCUGAAGGCAAGGGGACUCUAGCCAAGGCUAGCUAAUUUUGUUAUUGCACCAAGUUUAACUUAAUAAUGCAAAGUAGAAGUUUAGAUACUCUAAAUUGUAUAUAAAGAAUUUACAUGGGUUAAUUUGUUGUAACUCCUAAAAAAAAAUCAUUUUACACAUUUUUUUUUA
rnacentral:misc_RNA from 1 species